AUUGAACGCUGGCGGCAUGCCUUACACAUGCAAGUCGAACGGUAACAGGCCGCAAGGUGCUGACGAGUGGCGAACGGGUGAGUAAUACAUCGGAACGUGCCCGAGAGUGGGGGAUAACGGAGCGAAAGCUUUGCUAAUACCGCAUACGAUCUACGGAUGAAAGCAGGGGACCGCAAGGCCUUGCGCUCAUGGAGCGGCCGAUGGCAGAUUAGGUAGUUGGUGGGAUAAAAGCUUACCAAGCCGACGAUCUGUAGCUGGUCUGAGAGGACGACCAGCCACACUGGGACUGAGACACGGCCCAGACUCCUACGGGAGGCAGCAGUGGGGAAUUUUGGACAAUGGGCGAAAGCCUGAUCCAGCCAUGCCGCGUGCAGGAUGAAGGCCCUCGGGUUGUAAACUGCUUUUGUACGGAACGAAAAGGUUUCUAUUAAUACUAGGAGCUCAUGACGGUACCGUAAGAAUAAGCAACCGGCUAACUACGUGCCAGCAG
rnacentral:rRNA from 1 species